GGAACGGCUUGCCAUAUGUGAUAAAGCGUCUCCAAAACACAGACGAGCGUCUGCAAAAACGACGACAACAACAACAUCAAAUGUAAACAAACUACCUUUAGGCAGAAAAACUAGCUCAACAAUGGGUUAGACUAAGGACCUUUCAGCUCAUUCUGUUGUGUAAUAUACGCAGUUUUCAAAACUAUGCAGGCUUGAAGCACGAGUGCGUUGCCAAUAUAUCAACUCCGCCACUCCUGAUCUGGUUGAAUCUUUAGAGAAUACUAUUAGUUUCAGAUACAUGUUGUAAAUAGAAGAGUAGAAAGCAAAAUGGCGUGACUGAUUAUUCCCGAUUUGAAUGAAAGAAGAUGGACUCCUGCAAGAUUUGCCAUCAACAGAUCGAAGGCCAAGCAAAGGCGGUAAAGCUAAGUCAAAAGGGCUGUGAUGGUAUAAAUGAUGCUUGUGAUAAACGAAAUGACAGUUUACAUGUUAAACCUGGUGACUAUGUUCAUGUUGAGUGCAGAAAACAUUAUUGUAAUCCAAAUUGUAUAAAACGUGACACUAGGGAAUGCAAAGUAAUUAAUGAUUCACCAUUGUCACCUCUGAGAUCGAAAAAUGUUAAA